rnacentral:rRNA from 1 species
UACGGAGGGGGCUAGCGUUGUUCGGAAUUACUGGGCGUAAAGCGCACGUAGGCGGCUUUGUAAGUUAGAGGUGAAAGCCCGGGGCUCAACUCCGGAAUUGCCUUUAAGACUGCAUCGCUAGAAUUGUGGAGAGGUAAGUGGAAUUCCGAGUGUAGAGGUGAAAAUUCGUAGAUAUUCGGAAGAAACACCAGUGGCGAAGGCGGCCAACUGGACCAACACUGACGCUGAGGCGCGAAAGCGUGGGGAGCAAACAGGAUUG